UACGUAGGUGGCGAGCGUUGUCCGGAUUUACUGGGCGUAAAGGGCGUGCAGGCGGUUUGUUAAGUGCAGGGUGAAGCUCCCGGCUCAACUGGGAGAGGUCCUUGCAUACUGGCGAACUCGAGGGAGGCAGAGGAAAGUGGAAUUCCCGGUGUAGUGGUGAUAUGCGUAGAUAUCGGGAGGAACACCUGUGGCGAAGGCGGGCUUUCUGGGCCUUACCUGACGCUGGAGACGCGAAAGCGUGGGGUAGCAAACAGG
rnacentral:rRNA from 1 species